rnacentral:rRNA from 1 species
GAUGAACGCUGGCGGCGUGCCUAAUACAUGCAAGUCGAGCGAACAGGCGAGGAGCUUGCUCCUCUGACGUUAGCGGCGGACGGGUGAGUAACACGUGGAUAACCUACCUAUCAGACUGGGAUAACUUCGGGAAACCGGAGCUAAUACCGGAUAAUAUAUUGAACCGCAUGGUUCAAUAGUGAAAGACGGUUUUGCUGUCACUUAUCGAUGGAUCCGCGCCGCAUUAGCUAGUUGGUAAGGUAACGGCUUGCCAAGGCAACGAUGCGUAGCCGACCUGAGAGGGUGAUCGGCCACACUGGAGCGGAGACACGGUCCAGACUCCUACGGGAGGCAGCAGUAGGGAAUCGUCCGCAAUGGGCGAAAGCCUGACGGAGCAACGCCGCGUGAGUGAUGAAGGUCUUCGGAUCGUAAAACUCGGUUAUUAGGGAAGAACAAAUGUGUAAGUAACUAUGCACGUCUUGACGGUACCUAAUCAGAAAGCCACGGCUAACUACGUG